rnacentral:rRNA from 1 species
UGCCUAACACAUGCAAGUCGAGCGAGAAAGCCCUUCGGGGUAAGUACAGCGGCAGACGGGUGAGCAACGCGUGAGAAUCUGCCCUUCAGUGAAGAAUACCUCCGAGAAAUCGGGGCUAAUACUGCAUACGUCCCUUCGGGGAGAAAGAUGGCCUCUUUGCUGUUGCUGAAGGAUGAGCUUGCGUGCUAUCAGCUAGUUGGUGAGGUAAUGGCUCACCAAGGCUAUGACGGCUAACCGGCCUGAGAGGGUGUUCGGUCACAUUGGAAGUGAGACACGGUCCAGACUCCUACGGGAGGCAGCAGUGGGGAAUAUUGCGCAAUGGGCGAAAGCCUGACGCAGCCACGCCGCGUGGAGGAUGAAGGUCUUCGGAUUGUAAACUGC